rnacentral:lncRNA from 1 species
UAGAACCAAAAAUCACAUAGGAUAUGCUGAUUCUCUCCAAGGGUUUAUACUGUCUCUUAAACUGAGAAGGAAUGCCUAUAAAAGCAUUGAAGGCUCUGCUGUUAUGAACCAGAGGAAGAAGAAAACGAGAGUUGGUGAAUGAAAAUAUAUCUUUGAAUUUAUAAGCGAAACAGUGAUAGGGCUACUCUCUAUUGGCAUGCAAUUGUAUAUUUCAGCUGACACGCCAAAGGAGAGCUGCCCUGUUACUGUCUCUGCUUAAUCUACAUGCCCUUUGGGCAUUCUUAAUAUUUUGUUCUGAGUCGUUCUGUUCUCGUGCUAUUCCAAAUAUUAAGUCUUGUUUACAUUGUUGUGAACCCACCAAUUGAUAAUGUGAAUACGAUUGUGAGAUGUAUUCAAUUGGCAGUUAUAACUCUAUUAAUGUUACUGUAUUAGAUUCUAUUUUUUGUAUUUAAUCCUCAAAUUAUUUUUGUUAACUGAAGAUUUAUACAUAGUUCUGAUGAAUUAGAAUUCAACUCGAUUGUAAAUCUCAGACAAGCUGCUUAGAUGGUUCAAAAGAUUUCCAUAGCUAUGAAAUUAACACUUUGGAAAUUCAGGUUACAGGAUAAAUGAGGUUCAGCGGAUUACACAAGCUUCUAUCAGGAAAAUGUAUCAAAAGUUACAAAGUGAUAUAUCUAAAGGUACUUGAAUAUUUUCCAAAGUUUCAAAUAUACAGUUCAAACUCGAGGAAUAUUUAUUCUGGAGUUUGAAUUAGUUAAGUUUAUAAUAUUGGUUCGAAAUAAUGUCUUCUCCAGAAGACUCUAGCCCUGUUAAUUAUGAUAUCGGGGAGCUCAACAUUGAUUCGGAAAAGGCCAACUGGUUCAGCUGCAGCUCAAAGACCAUUUUACAGUUGUAACAUUAGACUUGUAGUUUUAUUCUGAGCCAUUUUAUGUGUAACUACAAAUACUUGAUUCAUUUUGUAGUAAAGUUUGAUACAUCAAUCAUUCUCAAUUCCACAAAUAUUUUGUUUAUAUAAUCUUCUUUUUCUCUCUCGUUUUGCCGGGGCAUUUCCACCAGGGAAAUUUCCAUCUAAUUUUUGCAAGUCUAAUUUUAACAUGGUAUCAUAGCAGGCAAAUGAACUAUACUUGUUCCUCUCAUUAGAGCAUCAUAUCCUCGAAGCUAGAUUUUGUAUUUUGAUUGAUUUUCAAAAAACAAUAUAUGGAUAGGGUUCAAUUUCUGAUUAAACAGGGGUUUACUCUAUUCUACUUCUGGUUCAAAGGUUUCACAAUGGAUUACGGUGAUAUUUAAGGCGUUCAUGAUAAUGUAUUAUUUCGGGCAUUGUUGAAAAUCAAGAACAAACAUCAAGCUUUCAUGGUGAUUUUACAGAAGAGAGUGAAAAGGAAGAGGAUGAACAAGGAACAAGUUCAUUUCAGUUCACAAAGUUUCAGACAGAACAAUUUUGAUACACCAAAAGUCAGCAAAUUACGUGGAAAAGAUCACAAACCGCAGAUCACUUAGGUGAUAGAUUAAAGCAGAGCCAUCCACGUGGAUCUAAUAGUGGUACAAAUCCAGAAGUUUCUCAGCUAGUGCAUUUGCCUAGCACGUGAUAGCUAUUACAGUCUGUUAGAAGAAAACAAAUAGAAAAAUGACUAGUGUAAAUAGUCAUUCUUGUUACCGUUAUUAUUAGAAGUAGGAUUAUCUUCUUGUUACCGUUAUUAUUAGAAAUAGGAUUAUCUUGUAUAAAUAAGGUCAAGCAUGUACAAUAUAAAGAUACAAGAAAUAUACAGAAAAUUUCUCCAAGAUUUCAUCCAUUUUUUCCAAUAGGCAUGGUGACUGAUCUUAGAAUUUAUUCUAAGUUGAAGACUUUUACUUCCUCGGGUUUCAGAAGAAGAGUGGUACUAUCUUCUCUUAUCUUCGUAUUGUGUGUAUCAUUCUGCUCCUCAGUACUUCUUCUUGUCUAUUGAUACACCAAAUGUGACCUCGAUCAUCUACUUCUUCUUAUAGCCAUCAAAAUCAUUUAGUUUCCCUUUCUUUGGUGGAACUGGCUUUGUGGCAAGGGGAAACAGCAUGUUAAUCUCUUUUUCUGCCAAAAAUAAAUUGGGGUCAUAUGCUCUUUCUGUGAGCAGAUAAGUUUUGCUCAAAGAGUCUAAUAUAAGGCAAAGAAGCUUGUCCUUUUGUGUCUUGCAUAUAUCACGUGAUAUACACAUAUGGCAGUGAUGUCAUUGUCAAUGAAAAUCCAAAAGUCAACGUAUGACUAUGGCUCUGAUACCAUGUAGAGAAUAGCAGAAGAAAAGUAUGAUUAGAAAAAUCUUCUGCUAGCCCAAGUUCGUCAAAUAAGAUCGGAACAUUCAACUAAAGUAAAGGAAGCUAGAAAGUAAAAAGAAGAAUUCGGAAAGAAGAACUUUGUAACAGAAGAAGACUCUUUGAUUUAGGUUUUGGGUUUUGGUUUAUAUACAAAUGUGCAAGACCAUCCUCUAUUUAUACUUGUUCAUGGAUGGUUCUAGAAAUUUUUCUAGAUACAUCUACAAAAAAAAUUCUAGUGAACUUUAUCUUCUAGAUAUCUAGUUAUUUCUUUAAGAUAAUUAUCUUAGAUACUAUCCUAGACUAUUCUAGAAACAUUACAAGAAUAACCUAUCAUAUUCCAAAAAAUCAACUUUAAUUUUUCACAAGAGCAAAAUAUAAAGACUCAACAACCUAGAACUAAAUGAUAUCAGUUGUAAGUAAGGAACAGGGUUCUUCAGUUGUUGGAGCAGUCUUGUUGAAGCACCUUGGUGACUUUGCAGAGAAAAUUUGAAUAUUUUGAUUUCACCAAACUUGGGUUUUCAUCUCUUGGUAUGUUGAAUACAUAUGGAGGAUGAGAGAAGUGAAAACUUGGGCAAUUAAACCAGAGAGGGGGACAACAACAACUUUUCUGCAGGGCAUAAUACAUAUAUUGGACCUUAAACUUGGCUUUCAAAUUUUAACUUUGACCUCCAACUUUCAUAGUGCACAAACAAGCACUUUAACUAUCCAAUCUUUUAAUAAAUAAACACGCGAUUUUUGGAGCCAAGAGCGUGAAAUGCAAACGCUGCCACGUGUAUUAGUGAGCCACUCAAUGGCUGCCAACUAAUUAAACACUUUUACACGUGCAUUUUUGAACUAAAAAAAAAUUAAUUAAUUAAGGGUAUAGUUGUCAUUUCAGCAUUUUUUUUUACUGUUGUAGGCCUCAAAAAUCACUCCUACUCGCGCAAAAAAUGUGCACAUCACGCGUUUUGCCAGGUAAGACACGCGUGUUUAUUUAUUAAAAGGUUGGAUAGUUAAAGUGUCUGUUUGUGCACUAUGAAAGUUGGAGGUCAAAGUUAAAAUUUGAAAGCCAAGUUUAAGGUCCAAUAUAUGUAUUAUCCCUUUCUGCAGUGCUGCAUUUCUACAAGACUACAACAGUGACAACAACUUUACAGUUGUGGACAGCUGUGAGAGUUGACUCGUACAUAUCGUUCUGAUGCUUACCUUGUCCCUCAUUAAUUCCCCUAUGAUAUGAGAUCCUCUGAAAGAUAGUUCCCCAUGAAUGAGCAUUUAAAUCAUACAACAGAUCAGCCUGGUGUGUAUUUGGUCCCUCAUCUCGUUCCUCGGCAAGUUUGUCAAAUCAUCAAAACAAAGCAUAGUAAUGCAGUGACUAUGCAUCAUCAAACACAUUGAUGAGUUAGCGAUAAUCACCCCCUAAUUUGUCUCAAGACUGUCAAUCAGUGUUUUUCAAAAAAAAAUAAAAUCAAGGAUUAGUACAACACCAUCCAGGAACCUUUACUGAAAAAUUAGUAUACCAUAUGAAUCUUUCAAAGUUUGGAUCUAUCAUGGAGUAAAAGAAUAUAUUGCAGAUUAGGAAUAUUCAACAUAUGCCUUCUUGAAAUCUACAUUGUGGUCAACAGAUAUAUAGUAGCAACAAGUACAUCAUGCCACCCUGCUUGAAAUUUAGGUUCAGGAUUUAGAGAAGAACAUAUUAACUCAGCAGCGGUGGAUAGAGUAUGUAAGCAACUUUUGCAUCAGAGUUAUAACAUUAAGCAGAAACAGUAACCACGCAACUCCCCUUUGGCAUUUCAUCUGAAAUAUGUGAUGAAUAAAUAACCGCAUGCCAAUAAAGAGUACCCCUAUCACUGUUUCUUCUUGUUAGAGAAGAACAAAGUGACUUACCAGUGGCGGAUGUAGAGAAAUAGCAGAAGAAAAGUAUAACCGGAGAACCCUUCUGCUAGCCCAAGAUCGUUAACUAAGAUCAGAAGACUCAACUAAGGAAGAGGAAGCUAGAAAGGAGAACUUGAUUAUGAAAGAAGAUUCUUUUAUUUGAGUUGUUCUUGGGUUUGGGUUUUGGGUUGCUUACAAAUGUACAAGACCACCCAUAUUUAUACUUGUUCAUGGAUGGUUCUAGAAAUUCUUCUAGGUACUUCUACAAAGAAAAUUCUAGUGAACUUUAUCUUCUAGAUAUCUAGAUAUAUUUUAAGAUAAUUAUCCUAGAUAUUAUCCUACACUAUUCUAGAAACAUUACUAGAGCAAUCUAUCAUAUUCCCAAAAAAUCAACUUUAACUUUUUCACAGCGGAUACAGUAUGUAAAUAGUGGGUUCAACAGCUGUUGUAUCAGAAUAACAUUAAGCAGAGACAGUAACAGGGCAGCUCUCCUUUGGCAUGUCAGCUUAAAUAUAUAGGUGCAUGCCAAUAGAGAGUAGCCCUACCACUGUUUCCCUUAUAAAUUCAAGAAUACAUUUUUAUUCACCAACUCUCUUUUUUCUCAUUUUUCUACUUCUGUUUCAUCACAGCAGAGCCCUCCAAUCUUAUAUAGAUCAUUCCUUCUCAGUUUGAAAGACGGUAUAAACCCAUAGAGAAUCAGCAUAUCCUUCAAUUUUUAUGUCUUCUUGCUUUUUCUAGGGUCAGAAAAUGGGGAACUUUCGUAUCCCUUUUACCAUUUCAUUUUGUGGCUUUUCGGUUUCUGAAUGCUAAUAACUUAACUAGGUGUCUUUUGUGACUAUGAAGUGUGUCACUUGACUCUUUUACAGCAUAUUCUUGGUCAUAUUCCUCAUUUUCCUCUUCUUUUGUCCAUAUCGACAUUUCUAUGUAGGGUCACUUGUGGUUUCGUGUGGCUUUUCAAUUUCCUAGUGCCACUCUCACUUAAUUAGGCUGGUAAAUUUUUCUGAUCUCAAGUCUUUCAGAAGUUGAGAAACAAAAUUGAUUUAGCAAAAGUGUAGGAUGACAAAAUAAAAGUUGGAUGGCGCUUUUUGAGUUCUCUCAUAUUACUCAAAAGUGUCGUCAUUUGUUCCAGUUUGCAUAUCACGCUAACCCGAACUAAUUGACUAGCUGUGGCAGUUUAAAAUCAUUUUGCACCUUUCAACAUGUACGGUAUGGUAUCAAUUUAGCGGAUUUCUGUGCAACAAAAAACAAUCCUUACGACUUUAAGACAUUCAAGUAUAAUGAAGCUGGACAAUUGGUGUCCAAGUCUGGAUCAAUGCUACAUAAGCAUACAUUCAUAUAAUACCAUCCUAGUUUCUAGCUCCAGCAAAUCUGUCCCUCAAACCUAUGCCCCAUAUACCCACAUCACAUCUAUAUUUAUAUCCAUAUCAAUAUCGAUAUCAAUAUUAUUUGAAAGUGAACUUCUAAAUUAGAAAGUUGAAUCACCUGAAUAUCCUUCUAAAUAGUUAAUCUGAAUCUAUAUCGUACUUAUAGAUUAACUAAAUGGUGUCAAGUAGUGUAUAAUUGAUAAAAGCCACCUAUUUCCGGCAGUUGACAAACAAAGUCGUCGAGUCAGACAUUUCAAGAGCCAAACAAUAAAAGCCACUGUUUGGAAUAAGGGCGUUCAUUGUUUGGAGAAGCAAAUCACUGCAGAGACUUCUAAAACAGACUUAAGUUCAGUUAGUUGGCUACCUGAACUUUUACAUUGCUGGUGAUGACUCGAUUCCCACCUCGUAAUAUCCUACCCCUUUCCCCCUUCUCUACCCCUAUGUAAUAAAAAAAAGAUAUAGGAAAAAUAAUGGACAAAAAAUAAUGAUAAAUUAUAAAAAUAUAUAUUCUAAAAGGACAAAGGCGUUUUCAUCAAGAAUGUCUAUCAUAUUAUAUUUAGGCAGUAGUGAUGUGAGGCAAUUCGAUUGUUCAGUUUGUCUCUUGAAAAAAAAAUUCAAUAUGUGCUUGUUGUCUUAGAUAGCAUCCAGAAUUGAACUGUGUUGAUAUAUCAUAUAUGCUGCUGCAGUUGCUCAUCUCUAUUGUCUUAAGAGUAAACUGGCAUAAUAUCUUAAGAUUACUCUUCAUUUCAUGGCCUCUAAAAGAGCUGGAAUCCUAAAAAUUACAUAACAUAAGCAAGAGUGGAAUUAGUGAAAUCGAAAAGCCGCAUGAAUAACAAAAACCAAAACCAAAUAGAAAACGUAACAUAGAAAUGUAAAAGAGAAAAGAAGAACAGAAAAAAUAAAGAAUAUGAUGAAAGGAUAUUCUAUUUGAAGAUCCUUGAGUCAAAUGGACACACUUCAAAGGCACAAAAUCAUGCAGCAUCAACUUUCAGCAACUUUUCCCUAAGGGAAUCUGAUGAAAAUAUUUUUAAAGGAGUUGCUUUCAGGAAAUAAAAUUGUGAAGGGAUAAGAAAGUUAGAUAUUUUUUACCAUAGAAAAAGCAAUCCCAUAAUGCAAGAAGAUAUCCGCAAACCACAACUAGUACCAAAAAUCAUAUAGGAUAUGCUGAUUCUCUCCAAAGGUUUAUACCGUCUCUUAAACUGAGAAGGAAUACCUAUAAAAGCAUUGAAGGCUCUGCUGUGAAGAACCAGAGGAAGAAAAAGAGAGAUUCAGUGAAUGAAAAUAUGUAUCUUUGAAUUUAUAAGCGAAACAGUGAUAGGGCUACUCUCUAUUGGCAUGCAAUUGUAUAUUUCAGCUGACAUGCCAAAGGAGAGCUGCCCUGUUACUGUCUCUGCUUAAUCUACAUGCCCUUCGAGCACUUUAAAUAUAUACAGUGUGAUGUUUUGAAGGUAUUUUUCUACUUUUCAUAGUGAGUCGUUGUGUUCUCAUGUUAUUCCAAAUAUUAAGUCUUGUUUACUUAAUUGUGAACCCACCAAUUGAUAAUUUGAAUGCGACUGAGAGAUGUAUUCAACUGUACAUUUUUGUUAACUACAUAGUCCUGAUGAUUAGAAUUUAACUUGAUUGUAAAUCUCAGACAAGUUGCUUGGGUGGUUCAAAAGAUUAAAAAAGCUAGGAAAUUAACACUUUGGAAAUUCAGGUUACAGGAUAAAUGAGGUUCAGCAGAUUAUACAAUUUUCUAUCAGGAAAAUGUAUAAAAAGUUACAAAGUGAUUAUCUAAAGGUACUUGAAAUUUUUUCGAACUUUCAAAUAUACAGUUCAAACUCGGCGAAUUAUUCUGGAGUUUGAAUUUGUCAAGUUUAUAAUUUUGGUUUGAAAUAAUGUCUUCUCCAGACGACUCUAGCCCUGUCAAUCAUGAUAUUGGGCAGCUCAACAUUGAUUUGGAAAAGGCCAACUGGCUCAGCUGCAGCUCAAAGACCAUUUUACAGUUGUAACAUUAUACUUGUAGUUUUAUUCUUAGCCUUUUUAUGUGUAACUACAAAUACUUGAUUCAUUUAUGAAAUAUAGUUUGAUACAUCAAUCAUUCUCAAUUCCACAAAUAUUUUGUUUCUAUAAUCUCCUUUUUCUCUCCCGUUUAAGCCACAGGGCAUGGGCAUUUCCACCAGGGAAAUUUCCAUCUAAUUUCUGCAAGUCUCAUUCUAACAUGGUACAUUUGGGUUACAAGCAGGUCAUUCUUGAAACAGAUUUUGAAUAUUGUUUGCAUGCUGUGAUUCAUUUGAUUUCCUCUAAUCACCCUCAAGCACAA